rnacentral:misc_RNA from 1 species
UAAAGUGCGAUAUUUAGUGCGAUUUGCAUGAAUCUGUGAGUCAUCGAGUUUUUGAACGCAUCUUGCGCCCGUAAGGGCAUGUCCUUUUGAGUACCGAUUAACACCUUUGUUGACAAGUGUCUUUGACCUCGUCUAAAUGGAUAGUCUCUUUUAAACAGAGGGUAGUGUGCCAAGUUGCUCGUCAACUGACCCCUAUCCAAUGUUCUUCACGGUCUCAGAGUGGCAAGAUUACCCGCUGAACUUAA